GUCCCUGUAGCGCAAUACAUAGCGCUUUGGACUUCUCAUCCAAAUGUCAUGGGUUCGAAUCCCAUCUGGGAUG